rnacentral:rRNA from 1 species
AUGGAUCCGGCCCCCGAUCCGCCCGCCGCCGCCGACGAGGCCCUCCUGGCGGCGCUCUCCCUCCGCGGCGCCGACCUGCCGGCGGACUUCGGCGGAGGCCACGAGAUCGCCGAGGAGGAGGAGGAGGACGACGAGGGGUACGUGACGGCGGCGUCCAGGGGCGGGAGCAGCACGGCCGCGUCCCGCCAGAGGGAGGAGUUCGAGGGGCUGGAGGAGGAGGACGAGGACGAAGGCCCGCCCAGCCCCAGCAGCAGCGGCUACGCCGGCGAGCGCGGCAGCAGCGUCGCCUCCAGCGCCGCCGGCGCCGGCGCCGGCGGCAUCGAGGAGGAGCCCGACCCCGCCCCAACCCUCCCCCCCGGCGCCGAGGACUGGGCGCGCGGCAAGAAGCACGCCGACGAGGACGAUGGUUCAGCUUCAUGGAGGAAGAGGAAGAAGCAUUUCUUCAUUCUGAGCAACUCCGGCAAGCCGAUUUACUCUAGGUAUGGAGAUGAGCACAGGUUAGCUGGGUUUUCUGCUACACUGCAAGCGAUUGUUUCUUUUGUCGAGAACAGUGGUGAUCAUAUCAAAUUUGUGAGAGCUGGAAAACAUCAGAUAGUUUUCCUUGUCAAAGGUCCCAUAUAUUUAGUUUGUAUAAGUUGCACUGAAGAGACGUUUGAAGGAUUGAGGGGCCAACUAGAGCUCAUGUAUGGUCAGAUGCUGCUUAUUUUGACAAAGUCGGUCAACAGGUGCUUUGAGAAGAAUCCCAAAUUUGAUAUGGCACCACUUCUAGGUGGCACAGAUGCGGUUUUCCUAUCUCUUAUACGUGCAUUCAGCUGGAAUCCCGCUACAUUUCUUCAUGCAUACACAUGCCUUCCCCUUGCCCAAGCAACAAGACAGGCUGCUAGCACAGUUUUGCAGGACAUUGCUGAUUCGGGAGUUCUGUUUGCACUGUUGAUGUGUGAUCACAAGGUUAUUAGUCUCGUGGGAGCACAAAAGGCAACUUUGCAUCCUGAUGAUAUAUUACUACUUGCAAAUUUCAUAUUGUCCUCCGAAUCUUUUAGGACUUCGGAGUCUUUUUCACCCAUAUGCUUGCCAAGAUACAAUCCUAUGGCCUUCCUAUACGCUUAUGUUCAUUUUUUUGAUGAAAAUACUUACUUGACUCUUCUUACUCCGAGAUCAGAUGCCUUCUUUGAUUUGAAAGAUUCAAGGGCCCGCAUUCAGGAUGUUCUAUUGAAAUCCAAUGUCCUUCUCGAAGUCCAAAGGUCUUUGCAUGAGAAUGUACUGCGUGUUGAAGAUGUCCCCAUUGAUCCUACUUCUCAAUCUACAUCAGCUCCUGCACAGUCUUCUCAAGGCCUAAAUUCUCAACCGUUGUCUUCUGAUGAGGCAAUUGGUGGACCAGCUGGACUUUGGCAUUUUAUAUACAAAAGCGUCUAUCUUGAUCAGUACGUAUCGUCUGAGUUUGCCUUGCCCAUAAGAAAUCCCAAGCAACAGAAGAGAUUGUACAAGGCUUAUCAAAAGGUUUAUGCUUCCAUGCAUGAUAAAGCAACUGGUCCGCACAAAACUCAAUUCAGAAGAACUGAGGAUUAUGUUAUGUUGAGCUGGAUAACCCAGGAUUUUGAGCUGUAUGCAGCCUUCAGUCCGCUGGCCGACAAGACCCAAGCGAUCAAGAUAUGCAACAGAGUAUGCCAGUGGAUCAGGGAUUUAGAGGACAGAGUGUUCAUAUACGGAGAAAGCACCAUUGCCUGGCAAUACCAUCACUGUUGGGGAGAUGUAUGAGGUUUGUCUCUGUAACAUUAUCGCAAAUGUGGUCCUUUUUAUUCAUGAUGAUCGUUGUUCAAGACAAAGUUCAAGCCAAUAAUUGGUUUUUCCGGUGCAUCUUGUCGAUGCGAUCGGGUGCCAUUUCUCAUUUCUGCGGCCUGUAACCUCCUAAUUCCCCAUGGAGUCCAGAUUACAUCAUAUAUAUGGGUUUGAAGAAACUGUUUCUUUUCUUUUCGUUUCUUCUGUAUGUUCAAUCAAUUCAGGAAAAGUUCAGUCUAC